ACCUCUUGAGGUGCCUGCACAAAGCUUGAAAGGGAAAGAGGAAGUGUGAGCUGUAGACACUAACAGUGACACCAGCAGGAGCGGAGACUUCCCAAGCAGCCCCUGUCUCAGGGCCAGGGAAGCACACCCACAAGACCAGAAUGCCAAGCAGGGAGACUCAGGGUCCCCACGCCUCUGCCUGUGUGACCCUGCCAUGGGCUGCAGCCUCCACUGUGGUGUGGUCCAUUGUCUCAGGCCCCACAGAUACUGGAAUUACCCAGACACCAAAAUACCUGGUCACAGCAAUGAGGAGUAAAAGGACAAUGAAAUGUGAGCAUCUGGGACAUGAUUCUAUGUACUGGUACCGACAGAAAGCUAACAAAUCCCUGGAGUUCAUGUUUCACUACAACUAUAAGGAACUCAUUCAAAACGAGACUGUGCCAACACAGUGUCACACCUGAAUGCCGACAGCUCUUGUGUACACCUUCAUGUGGUCAUGCUGCAGCUAGAAGACUCAGCUGUGAAUCUCUGUACCAGCAGCCAAGGCACAGCCCUGCAGAGUCAUCGCCUCCCUAUGCACAAACCUCCUGGGUCUAGUGAGGAACCCGUGGGGGCAACAUGUCCAGCUGAGCCUCAACACUCAGUUGAGCAUUCCGGAGGGCCUCGGCAGACAUCUCAGACUAUAAUACUGUCAUUUAUUGGAUGUGACAAUUGCCCAGACACCUGCAGCCCACGUCCUGACUUUGUCUUGAAUGAGACUGUGCCUGAACUUGAAUGCAGGACAGAUGCUGUCAAGUUUAAGUUGUUCCAAGUAUCUUCCAGUUCGUUUGUGCCUCAGGAAAUCUUGUGUGUAGCAUUUAACACUCUGGCCACACCAAUCUGCCUUCCAAUAUGAACCUUUUUUAUUUAUCUUUCCACCCAAGUUAGACCCUGGAUCUCACCCCUCAUCCCAGCUCAAAAUCUACUCAAACCUUUUCUUUUGUUUUUUGUUUGCUUGUUUGUUUUUAGAUGAAGUCUCACUCUGUCAC